UACGUAGGGUGCGAGCGUUGUCCGGAAUUAUUGGGCGUAAAGGGCUCGUAGGCGGUUUGUCGCGUCAGGAGUGAAAACACACAGCUUAACUGUGUGCUUGCUUCCGAUACGGGCAGACUAGAGGUAUGCAGGGGAGAACGGAAUUCCUGGUGUAGCGGUGAAAUGCGCAGAUAUCAGGAGGAACACCGGUGGCGAAGGCGGUUCUCUGGGCAUUACCUGACGCUGAGGAGCGAAAGUGUGGGGAGCGAACAGG
rnacentral:rRNA from 1 species